GUGCUCACUUGGCCAGCACAUAUACCAGAACUGGAAUAAUACAGCAAAGAUUAGCAUGACUCUGAGCAAGGUGGACAUGUGAAUUUGUGAAGUGUUGUUUGUUUUG
ensembl:snRNA U6 U6 spliceosomal RNA